rnacentral:rRNA from 1 species
UGGGGAAUAUUGGACAAUGGGCGAAAGCCUGAUCCAGCCAUGCCGCGUGUGUGAAGAAGGUCUUCGGAUUGUAAAGCACUUUAAGUUGGGAGGAAGGGCAUUAACCUAAUACGUUAGUGUUUUGACGUUACCGACAGAAUAAGCACCGGCUAACUCUGUGCCAGCAGCCGCGGUAAUACAGAGGGUGCAAGCGUUAAUCGGAAUUACUGGGCGUAAAGCGCGCGUAGGUGGUUUGUUAAGUUGGAUGUGAAAUCCCCGUGUUCAACCUGGGAACUGCAUUCAAAACUGACUGACUAGAGUAUGGUAGAGGGUGGUGGAAUUUCCUGUGUAGCGGUGAAAUGCGUAGAUAUAGGAAGGAACACCAGUGGCGAAGGCGACCACCUGGACUAAUACUGACACUGAGGUGCGAAAGCGUGGGGAGCAAACA